rnacentral:lncRNA from 1 species
UUUAUUAACAGGUGUAGCAAAGGGAAAAAGAAAGUGUAUCUCACAAUUUCUGAAGAUUUAAUUAGACAUGCCAAUACCUACUCUGGCUAUAGAUUUAAGAUAUAAAAUGUAGGUUUUGACACAGUAAGACUGCCUUGCUAAAAUAAACCAUCACUGAUUUAAAUGAUAGCAUGAGAGCUGUGCUUAGCUACAGUGACAGAGAUCGUGCUUACCAAAUACUCAGUGGUCUUUCUAUCGUAGUGCCUUUGAAAAUUAUUUGGCAUAGCAUUCUUAGGGUAUGUUUUUCUAAAGAUCAACCUACACCUUCAUUAUGUAUUUUCCCAUCCCCCUUGCAGUUAGAUUAGGAAUAUAUGAGUAAGUUGACCAAUGGGCUCUGACUAUAUCCCUUCCAGGCUGAGGCAUGUAGGAGCCUUCUCCAUGUCUCCCUUCCCCAGCAGAGACAACCUUGGAGAGCAUACACAGAUCACAGAUGUCCUAGAAUAUGGAGGCCAGCCUGGGCAACGCUGGGUUGUGAUGAAAGUGAGAAAGAAACUUUUAAUGUGUUAAGCCCCUGAGAUUCAAAGUUAUCUGUUGCAACUAAUUACUCUGAAUAAUACAGCCAUAAAUAUCAGAUGGCAUUGAGAUAUAUCACCACUAGGGAAAGUCUUAUUUUCACUACCAACCUGGGAAUAAAUCAGGAAAGAAGAGUUUCUCUUAUUGGAGGAGUUAAAGUUUUGUAGCUAAUCCACGUAUUGUCUUUAAAAAGUUUGCUGAUUGCAGGGGUCUUUGAGUGCUUUUUUUUCUAAAGAUCAGCUUGUACCUUAAUUAUGUUGAGAGAUAUGCAAAAUAAAGAUCUCUGCCCCUGGAUCUUGUUGUUUUUAGUAUUAUCUUAGUCUUAUUAGCAGGUUGAAAGAACAAUAUCUAAUUCCAGUAUCCUGAGCUACCAAUACCAGCAGUCUCCAGACCAGAGUAAGCUACCUCCCUGGCAAGAGCUUUAAUGUCACAUACUUCCUUGAUCCAUCUUUUGGGGCUAGGUAUAUCAUAUUAAUUGCGUGGAUUCGAAUGCAGUAUGGACAGGGUAGCCAGGAGAGAAGGGCAGAAGAACCAAGCUUUUAACAAGCUGCCAUCAUUAGCUAUCUGUCUAUGAAGAAUUAAUUUUAUGGGGAAAAUCUCAUUGUUAUUUCAGGAGGCAUCUGUCAUAUUAUUUUAGCUACAAUAGAUGAAACAUAAUGAAGCAAUUGUUUGCAAGAAGGCCUUGGCCAUAAGCUACUUUUGGUGACUCAGAACUGAUUACAUUAUUCUAAGGGUUGUAAAAGACUAUGGUGUAUGUAGGAAUACUGACUAUAGGGAUCCCUGGGUGGCGCAGUGGUUUGGCGCCUGCCUUUGGCCCAGGGCGCGAUCCUGGAGACCCGGGAUCGAAUCCCACGUCGGGCUCCCGGUGCAUGGAGCCUGCUUCUCCCUCUGCCUGUGUCUCUGCCUCUCUCUCUCUCUCUGUGACUAUCAUAAAAAAAAAAAAAAAAAAGGAAUACUGACUAUAACUCAUCAAAGGAAAUCAUCUUUCAUGAGAUGUGAUUAAGAAGUCUUGAUCAAGAAUAUAUGUCAACUUCCCAUACCCACUCUAGAUGGAGAAAUCUCUAUUUUUAAAGUUGUCUCAAAAUGGUUUCCCAUUAUUUACUGAAAUUUUGUGUGUCUCCUUUUUUUUCCACAAUGGCAGCCUUACUGCGCAUUAGGGUAUACAAAAAAAGGGACCCUGCCUCAGUAUGACAACAAUGAACAGGGAAUCAGCAAUUUUCCCAGGCUCAAGGGGAACUAUGUGGAACUAAGUAUUUCCCCAUCCACAGGUUUCUGUCCUUGUAGAGGAACCAUUGCAUUACAUUCUUGGACUCUCUCACCCCUUCUUCAUCCCCAGGAAAGAACAAAUUUCUUAUGUGCUGUGAGACUUUAGGAACAGGAACUAUGACUCUGUACGUUAGUCCCUCCUUUCUCUCUUUUCUUUCUAGGAUUUUUCUGAUUGCAGAGAAGAUAUGCCACAAUGUAAACUUAGGGGUAAAGACUCUGC